UCCCUAGUAGCUCAGCUGGUAAAGAAUGUGCCUGCAACGCAGGAGACCCUGGUUCGAUUCCUGGGUUGGGAA
rfam:TPA: Bos taurus chromosome 9, whole genome shotgun sequence.